rnacentral:rRNA from 1 species
GAUGAACGCUGGCGGCGUGCCUAAUACAUGCAAGUCGAGCGAAGCGGGGACGGGUGAGUAACACGUGGAAAACUUCCUAUAAGACUGGGAUAAUUCUGGGAACCGGGAGCUAAACCGGAUACUUACAGAUGGAUCCGCGCUGCAUUAGCUAGUUGGUAAGGUAACGGCCUACCAGGGCAACGAUGCAUAGCCGACCUGAGAGGGUGAUCGGCCACACUGGAACUGAGACACGGUCCAGACUCCGACGGGAGGCAGCAGUAGGGAAUCUUCCGCAAUGGGCGAAAGCCUGACGGAGCAACGCCGCGUGAGUGAUGAAGGUCUUCGGAUCGUAAAACUCUGUUAUUAGGGAAGCGGUACCUAAUCAGAAAGCAACGGCUAACUACGGGCCAGCAGCCGCGGUAAUAC